rnacentral:rRNA from 1 species
GAUGAACGCUGGCGGCGUGCUUAACACAUGCAAGUCGAACGGAACUACUCCAAUGAGAGUCUUCGGAAAGGAUUUGGUUUAGUUUAGUGGCGGACGGGUGAGUAACGCGUGGGUAACCUGCCCUAUACAGGGGGAUAACAGUUGGAAACGACUGUUAAUACCGCAUAAGCGCACAGGAGCGCAUGCUCCGGUGUGAAAAACUCCGGUGGUAUAGGAUGGACCCGCGUCUGAUUAGCUGGUUGGCGGGGUAACGGCCCACCAAGGCGACGAUCAGUAGCCGGCCUGAGAGGGUGAACGGCCACAUUGGGACUGAGACACGGCCCAAACUCCUACGGGAGGCAGCAGUGGGGAAUAUUGCACAAUGGGGGAAACCCUGAUGCAGCGACGCCGCGUGAGCGAAGAAGUAUCUCGGUAUGUAAAGCUCUAUCAGCAGGGAAGAAAAUGACGGUACCUGACUAAGAAGCCCCGGCUAACUACGUG